rnacentral:rRNA from 1 species
CACAGGGAGUGCAAACGUUAUUCAUCAUUAUUGGGUGUAAAGGAUAUGUAGGUGGUACUUUCGAACAUUUGUGAAAGACUCUGGUAGAACGCGGAGGAAGACAAGUGAUAGACCGAAGUUCUAGAGUUUAAAAUGGGUUAAGAGAAUUCUGUGUGUAGGGGUAGAAUCCAUACAUAUAUGGAAGACGAUCGAGUAGGUGGCUAAUGCGCUUUUCCGGUUUAAACUGACGCUGAGAUAUGAAGGGGUAGGGAGCAAACAGG